rnacentral:misc_RNA from 1 species
GAUGAGAACGCAGCGAAAUGCGAUAAGUAAUGUGAAUUGCAGAAUUCAGUGAAUCAUCGAAUCUUUGAACGCACAUUGCGCCCGCCAGUAUUCUGGCGGGCAUGCCUGUCUGAGCGUCAUUUCAACCCUCAUGCCCCUAGGGCGUGGUGUUGGGGAUCGGCCAAAGCCCGCGAGGGACGGCCGGCCCCUAAAUCUAGUGGCGGACCCGUCGUGGCCUCCUCUGCGAAGUAGUGAUAUUCCGCAUCGGAGAGCGAUGAGCCCCUGCCGUUAAACCCCCAACUUUCCAAGGUUGACCUCGGAUCAGGUAGGAAUACCCGCUGAACUUAAGCAUAUCAAUAAGCGGAGGA